GAUGAACGCUGGCGGCGUGCCUAAUACAUGCAAGUCGAGCGAACAGAUGAGGAGCUUGCUCCUCUGACGUUAGCGGCGGACGGGUGAGUAACACGUGGAUAACCUACCCAUAAGACUGGGAUAACUUCGGGAAACCGGAGCUAAUACCGGAUAAUAUAUUGAACCGCAUGGUUCAAUAGUGAAAGACGGUUUUGCUGUCACUUAUAGAUGGAUCCGCGCCGCAUUAGCUAGUUGGUAAGGUAACGGCUUACCAAGGCAACGAUGCGUAGCCGACCUGAGAGGGUGAUCGGCCACACUGGAACUGAGACACGGUCCAGACUCCUACGGGAGGCAGCAGUAGGGAAUCUUCCGCAAUGGGCGAAAGCCUGACGGAGCCACGCCGCGUGAGUGAUGAAGGUCUUCGGAUCGUAAAGCUCUGUUAUUAGGGAAGAACAAAUGUGUAAGUAACUAUGCACGUCUUGACGGUACCUAAUCAGGAAGCCACGGCUAACUACGUG
rnacentral:rRNA from 1 species